AUGGCCGAAUGCUUCAAUAGGGUGCUCAAAGGUGCACGUGGAUUACCCGUGACAGCAAUAGUUCAAUACACAUUUGACAAGAUGAAUGCGUACUUUGUAAAGUACUCGAUGGAAACCGAUGCACAGAUAGCGGGUGAGAACCCACGGAAGUACAAGUACAAGUUCCCACCCAAAGUUGAUGAAUGGUUGGUAUUUCAAUCACGGAAGGCGGACUCAGAAGAAGCUAUAUUAUAUGACAACGAAGAGUGGAAGUACGAAGUGUAAGAGCCAGGAGGAACCACAAACGAUGGCCGGCAACAUGGAGGUUGGGCUUUCAAGGUGUCGUUAACACAAUGUGAUUGCACUUGCGGGAAACCAUUGUUGCUUCAUCUCCCGUGCUCACAUUUGUAUGCCGCCGGUCGCGUUAGGAAUGUGGACAUCAAUCACCCACGCACCGUGAGGGAGUCGGAGUUCUCAAUCAUGACGGUCAAGAAAACAUGGGCUCCCCGCUUUCACCCAUACUUUGACCAAUCACAAUGGCCGGAGUAUCAUGGAGUUCAACUAUGGCCGGAUCCG
rnacentral:rRNA from 1 species